rnacentral:rRNA from 1 species
GGGCCCGCACAAGCAGUGGAGCAUGUGGUUUAAUUCGAUGCAACGCGAAGAACCUUACCAGGCCUUGACAUCCUAGGAAUCCUGUAGAGAUACGGGAGUGCCUUCGGGAAUCUAGUGACAGGUGCUGCAUGGCUGUCGUCAGCUCGUGUCGUGAGAUGUUGGGUUAAGUCCCGUAACGAGCGCAACCCUUGUCCUUAGUUGCCUUUAUGGAACUCUAAAAAGACUGCCGGUUAUAAACCGGAGGAAGGCGGGGAUGACGUCAAGUCAGCAUGCCCCUUACACCCUGGGCUACACACGUGCUACAUUGGGCGAGACAAUGAGAUGCAAACCUGCGAGGGUAAG